GAGAUGUUUGUUUGUCUCCGGCCGAAGCGACGGAGUGAUUGUUCUACCUUCAUCGAGGCCAUAGCGACACGAUGAGGUUGGAUCGUUAAGGCCGUAGCGACAAAACGAUAUCUAAUCUAUUGAGGCCAUAGCGACAAAAUAGAUUAGUUUCGGAACUAGGGUUUUGUGUAUUCCUAAGACUUCUACCCUUUGAGUUCAUCUCUGGCCGAAGCGACAGAGUGAUCUAUACAUCGAGGCCAUAGCGACAAGAUGUACUUGAAUUGUUAAGGCCAUAGCGACAAAACAAUUUUGAUUUGUUAGGGGUAAAGUCGUAAAUAUUAGGAACUUUUAAAAUUUUAACUUUUUAUUGCUAAAAAAGCGGAAAAACAAGAUGUAAAAAAUAAAAUCUAAUUAUUUUAUUUUGNN
rnacentral:lncRNA from 1 species